AGUGAACGCUGGCGGUAGGCCUAACACAUGCAAGUCGAACGGCAGCACAGUAAGAGCUUGCUCUUACGGGUGGCGAGUGGCGGACGGGUGAGGAAUACAUCGGAAUCUACUUUUUCGUGGGGGAUAACGUAGGGAAACUUACGCUAAUACCGCAUACGACCUACGGGUGAAAGCAGGGGAUCUUCGGACCUUGCGCGAUUGAAUGAGCCGAUGUCGGAUUAGCUAGUUGGCGGGGUAAAGGCCCACCAAGGCGACGAUCCGUAGCUGGUCUGAGAGGAUGAUCAGCCACACUGGAACUGAGACACGGUCCAGACUCCUACGGGAGGCAGCAGUGGGGAAUAUUGGACAGUGGGCGCAAGCCUGAUCCAGCCAUACCGCGUGGGUGAAGAAGGCCUUCGGGUUGUAAAGCCCUUUUGUUGGGAAAGAAGAGCAGCAGGUUAAUACCCCGCUGUUCUGACGGUACCCAAAGAAUAAGCACCGGCUAACUUCGU
rnacentral:rRNA from 1 species